rnacentral:misc_RNA from 1 species
GAUGAAGAACGCAGCGAAAUGCGAUAAGUAGUGUGAAUUGCAGAAUUCAGUGAAUCAUCGAAUCUUUGAACGCACAUUGCGCCCCUUGGUAUCCCGAGGGGCAUGCCUGUUCGAGCGUCAUUUCACCACUCAAGCCUAGCUUGGUGUUGGGCGACGUCCCCUUUGGGGACGCGCCUCGAAACGCUCGGCGGCGUGGCACCGGCUUUAAGCGUAGCAGAAUCUUUCGCUUUGGAAGUCGGGGCCCCGUCUGCCGGAAGACCUACUCGCAAGGUUGACCUCGGAUCAGGCAGGGAUACCCGCUGAACUUAAGCAUAUCAAUAAGCGGAGGA